rnacentral:rRNA from 1 species
UGGGGAAUAUUGGACAAUGGGCGCAAGCCUGAUCCAGCCAUGCCGCGUGAGUGAUGAAGGCCUUAGGGUUGUAAAGCUCUUUUGUCAGGGAAGAUAAUGACGGUACCUGAAGAAUAAGCACCGGCUAACUUCGUGCCAGCAGCCGCGGUAAUACGAAGGGUGCUAGCGUUGUUCGGAAUUACUGGGCGUAAAGCGCGCGUAGGCGGCUUAACAAGUCAGGGGUGAAAUCCCACGGCUCAACCGUGGAAUUGCCUUUGAAACUGUUAAGCUUGAGUGUCGGAGGGGAUAGCGGAAUUGCUAAUGUAGAGGUGAAAUUCGUAGAUAUUAGCAGGAACACCGGUGGCGAAGGCGGCUAUCUGGACGACAACUGACGCUGAGGCGCGAAAGCGUGGGGAUCAAACAG